CAUUAAAUCCCAUCUAGGCCAACCCCCUUAUUUUACAGAUGAGUAAGUACCAUAUGCUUGAAUCUUGUUUCACAGUCCUCAAAGGGUUUUCAUAGGGUAGAUCAUUUGCCUCCCCAACAACCCUUUGAGGUAGUCAGAAGGUAGCUUUAUUUAUCUCCACUUUGUGGAGAAAUGGAGGCACUGGGAGGAUGAAUGACUUGCCCAGCUAUGGAAGGGGCCAGUGAAUGGACACAUCUACAGCUCAAGCUUUCCACUGCCUUGGUGGCCUUCUCACCGAAGAGCUGGAUGCCACAGGACUUUGCAUGCCUACAGGACUGUCUAGACUCCAGUUCCCUUAGGCUGGACACUUUUGGACUUGAAAACCCUGCCAUGGCUUAGGAAAGCAUGAUCCCUCUCCUUCAGGACCCGACUCUAAAUCCAUGCCUCCUAGACUUCCGUGGUGGUCCAGUAGAUGAGAAUCCGGCUCUCAGUGCAGGAGACACGGGUUUGAUCCUUGGCCCGCCCGGGGAGAUUCCACAGACUGUGGGGCAAGUAAGCCCAUGCACCACAACUACUGAGCCCACGCCCUAGAGCCUUCAGGCUGCAGCUUCUGAAGCCUGUGUGCCGAGAGCCUGCGCUCUGCAAUGAGAGAAGCCACCACAAUGAAGAGUACCCACCACAAUGAAGAGUACCCCAAGAACCCCAACGAAGAGUGGCCCCUACUAACUACAACUAGAGAAAAGCUCGCACAGCAGCGAGGACCCAGCACGACCAUAAAAUAAAUGAAUGAUAAACCCGUGCCUUCUGGGGAGUCCUCCUCCUUCCAGCCCUAUUAUUUCUAGAUCCCUUCUGUCAGUUUGUACCAACCUUCCUGAGAGGAGUGUGAUCUAAACAGGGCCUAAUAUAUUAUGAGAACUUUCACGUGUCAAAUGAUAAGUGUGAAACAAUGGAAAAUUU
rnacentral:lncRNA from 1 species